AUUGAACGCUGGCGGCAGGCCUAACACAUGCAAGUCGAACGAGUGGCGGACGGGUGAGUAAUGUCUGGGAAACUGCCUGAUGGAGGGGGAUAACUACUGGAAACGGUAGCUAAUACCGCAUACCAUCAGAUGUGCCCAGAUGGGAUUAGCUUGUUGGUGGGGUAACGGGUCACCAAGGCGACGAUCCCUAGCUGGUCUGCGAGGAUGACCAGCAAAACUAGAACGGAGACACGGUCCAGACUCCAACGGGAGGCAGCAGUGGGGAUCAUUGCACAACGGGCGAAAGCCUGAUGCAGCAAUGCCGCGGGUAUGAAGAGGGCCUGCGGGUUGUAAAGUACUUUCAGCGGGGAGGCGUUACCCGCAGAAGAAGCACCGGCUAACUCCGUGCCAGCAGCCGCGAUAAUUC
rnacentral:rRNA from 1 species